rnacentral:rRNA from 1 species
GAGGAAUAAGCAUCGGCUAACUCCGUGCCAGCAGCCGCGGUAAUACGGGGGAUGCAAGCGUUAUCCGGAAUCAUUGGGCGUAAAGCGCCUGUAGGUUGUUUAAUAAGUCUGUUGUUAAAGACUGGGGCUUAACCCCAGGAAAGCAAUGGAAACUACUAGACUAGAGUAUGGUAGGGGUAAAGGGAAUUUCUAGUGUAGCGGUGAAAUGCGUAGAUAUUAGAAAGAACACCGGUGGCGAAAGCGCUUUACUGGACCAUUACUGACACUCAGAGGCGAAAGCUAGGGUAGCCAAAGGGAUUAGAUACCCCUGUAGUCCUAGCCGUAAACGAUGGAUACUAGAUGUUGCGCUUAUUGUGCAGUGUCGUAGCUAACGCGUUAAGUAUCCCGCCUGGGGAGUACGAUCGCAAGGUUGAAACUCAAAGGAAUUGACGGGGGCCCGCACAAGCGGUGGAGCAUGUGGUUUAAUUCGAUGCAACGCGAAGAACCUUACCAGGGCUUGACAUACUGCAAAUUUUCUUGAAAGAGAAAAGUGCCUUCGGGAAUGCAGAUACAGGUGGUGCAUGGCUGUCGUCAGCUCGUGUCGUGAGAUGUUGGGUUAAGUCCCGCAACGAGCGCAACCCUCGUUUUUAGUUGCCAUUUUAUGGGUUCUCUAGAAAGACUGCCGGUGACAAACCGGAGGAAGGUGGGGAUGACGUCAAGUCAGCAUGCCCCUUAUGCCCUGGGCUACACACGUGCUACAAUGGCUAAGACAAAGAGUCGCGAAUUCGCGAGAAUCAGCUAAUCUCAUAAACUUAGUCUAAGUUCAGAUUGUAGGCUGCAACUCGCCUACGUGAAG